AUGCAUACUCGGAUUGCGCAAUGCAUGCCUCAUGCAUCUGCUUUCUUCAAAAGCGUGUCCUUUAAAGGGCCAGCCCGAGCCAGGGGCUUGGCCUUCACAAGGACUUCACUACAAACAGGGACACUGCUGCAGGGGCUUGGCCUUCACAAUGACUUCACUACAAACAGGGACACUGCUGCAGUGUUACGGGACUUCACAAGGACUUCACUACAAACAGGGACACUGCUGCAGUGUUACGGGACUUCACAAGGACUUCACUACAAACAGGGACACUGCUGCAGUGUUACGGGACUUCACAAUGAUGGCUCCGGGUCAAGGGUCAAAGGUAGUGCAUUAUACAUAGGGAAUAGGGUGCCAUUUGGGACGCAUAAACGACUUCCUCUGCUGCAUGGCCUUCAGUUCACAAUGUACAGGAGGAGUCUGUUCCAAGACAAAGGACCUGGGCAGUGGAUGGAUGGAUGACCUUGGCAACACCAACACAAAACCAUUUCCAAUUGGUCUGUCAACACAACAGAAAGUAGCAGUUCAUACGACAGGUUUUCACCUACGUUAGUUACCUCCAAAUAGCACGUCCGUGUCUAUCGCCUGCGCAGUAUGUGUUACUGCAGGUAAAAAGGGAUAUUGGUUGAUUCAAUGACCUGUUAUGAAUAUUACAGUGGGUCUUUUAUGUUUUGUUUUGUUUUGUUCUUUUUUUAGCACCAGAAUUAAGACCACUGAGAACGUUUCAGAAGGAUACCGCUGCCUUAGUCUCAGUUGUGGUUUUUAAAACAGCGUUCCCCAGAGAAACCAACAUGUAGAGUCUGUAGAAGCCAUGGUAGUAACGGAACGCCUCAAUAACCAGGCGUGAGACUUCUCCCCCUGUUCUCCUCUCACCAUCAACCCUUUCACUAUUAUCUCUGUCUACGGUAUGACACUUAAGAUCCGGUCAGUGUUUCAUCCUUUCCUCCAUUUUCAUCUUAAAGACUAUGUGCCUCAUCAUCUUCUCAAACGUCCGUAUUUGUUUUCAAUAUGGGAACUGACCUUAACGAUUGUUCUUAGGUAAAUGCAACUCUCAGAGGGUUUAAUCAUUAUACUACACAUACAAGGAGUGGACAAAAUAUUAGGAACACCUUCCUAAUAUUGAGUUGCACCCUCUGGUGCCCUCAGAACAGUCUCAAUUCGUCGGGGCAUGGACUCUACAAGGUAUCGAAAGCGUUCCACAGGGAUGCUGGCCCAUGUUGACCCCAAUGCUUCCCACAGUUGUGUCAAGUUGGCUGAAUGUCUUUUGGGUGGUGGAUCAUUCUUGACACACACAGGAAACUGUUGAGCAUGAAAAACCCAGCAGCGCUGCAGUUCUUGACACCUACUACCAUACCCCGUUCAAAGGCACUUAAAUAUUUUGUCUUGCCCAUUCACCCUCUGAACGGAACACAUACACAAUCCAUGACUCAGUUGUCUCAAGGAUUAAAAAUCCUUCUUUAACCCGUCUACUCCCCUUCAUCUACACUGAUUGAAGUGGAUUUAACAAGUGACAUCAAUAAGGGAUCAUAGAUUUCACCUGGAUUCACCUGGUCAGUCUAUGUCAUGGAAAGAGCAGGUGUUCUUAAUGUUUUGUACAAUUUCCUCUGUAGACAGAAUGCGAGACUUUACUUUACUUUUAGUUACUGAAAAUAUAUACAUCUUCUACAUUUCCACAAAGCCACGUAAAUGACUGAAAAAAUGCCUUUCCCUAUGAGCUGACAAACUGUUGUGGAACAAAUUCCUCCGUAGACUGAUGAUGAUUAGCCCCGGCUAAUUUAAUCCAGAACACCUUCACUGGUGAAUAGAAACAGUCGAUAUCCUCCACCCAACACAUUACACAUUACAUCUAUUGAGAAAUCCUAACCUGAUUGAUCACAACACCAUCUGGGGGUUUGGAGCUGUCAAAGACAACCAGAAGGAUAUCUGUGAGACGGACACAUUUUAGAACAUGUUUGUGGAGGUUGUAUAGAAUUCGAUAAUAAACAUAGAUAUUCAGAAUGUGAUUCAUUGACUCCUGGUCACGGUUUAGACCCGUUAGGAUGCCACUUCUCUUACUUGUCUAUUUUCCUCCAAAUGAUCUAUGUGUCUGUCCAGAGUAAGGCUACAGGCAAGAUAGUGUGAUUCAUUAAAUGAUGAUGUGUCACUUGGAUAAAAACAUGAACCAUAACAUCAGAAUAAGACUUUAUCCACGUUUUGUUACGUUACAGCCUUAUUCUAAAAUGGACUAACAAAUAAAUAUAUAUUUACAAUCUACACACACUAAUGACAAAGUGAAAACUUAAUCAAAGUAAAAAAAAAAAAUAUAUAUAUACCUUAUUUACAAAAGUAUUCAGACCCUUUUGCGAUGAGACUCGAAAUUGAGUUCAGAUGCAUCCAGUUUCCAUUUAUCAUCCUUGAGAUGUUUCUACCACUUGAGUGGAGUCCACCUGUGGUAAAUUCAAUUCAUUAAACAUGAUUUGGAAAGGAACACACCUGUCUAUAUAAGGUCCCACAGUUGACAGUGCAUGUCAGAGCAAAAACCAAGACAUGAGGUUGAAGGAAUUGUCCGUAGAGCUCCAAAACAGGAUUGUGUUGAGGCACAGAUCUGGGGAAGACUACCAAAAAAUGUCUGCAUCAUUGAAGGUCCCCAAGAAUAGAGUGGCCUCCAUCAUUUUUAAAUUGUAGAAGUUUGGAACCACCAAGACUUUUCCUGGAGCUGGCCGCCCUGCCAAACUGAGCAAUCGGGGGAGAAGUGCCUUGGUCAGGGAGGUGGCCAAGAACCCAAUGGUAACUCUGACAGAUCUCCAGAGUUCUUCUGUGGAGAUGGGAGAACCUUCCAAAAGGACAACCAUCUCUGCAGCUCUCCAUAAAUCAGGCCUUAAUGGUAGAGUGGCCAGACAGAAGCCACUUCUCAGUAAAAGGCACAUGACAGCCCACUUGGAGUUUGUCAAAAAGCACCUAAAGGACUCUCAGACCACGAGAAACAAGUUUCUCUGGUCUGAUAAAACCAAGAUUGAACAUUUUGGCCUGAAUGCCAAGCGUCACGUCUGAAGCAAACCUGUCACCAUCCCCAUGGUGAAGUAUGGUGGUGGCAGCAUCAUGCUGUGGGGAUGAUUUGCAGUGGCAGGGACUGGAAGUCUAGUCAGGAUCGAGGGAAAGGUGAACGGAGCAAAGUACAGAGAGAUCCUUGAUGAAAACCUGCUCCAGAGCGCUCCGGACCUUAGACUCGGGUGAAGGUGCACCUUCCUCUAAGCACACAGUCAAGACAACGCAAGAGUGGCUUCGAGACAAGUCUCUGAAUGCCCUUGAGUGGCCCAGCCAGAACCCAGAUUUGAAACCAAUUGAACAUCUCUGGAGAGACCUGAAAAUAGCUGUGCAGCGACGCUCCCCAUCUAAACUGACAGAGCACGAGAAGAUCUGCAGAGAAGAAUGGGAGAAACUCCCCAAAUACAGGUAUGCCAACCUUGUGGCGUCAUACCCAAGAAGAGUCGAGGCUGUACUCACUGCCGAAGGUGUUUCAACAAAGUACUAAGUAGGGUCUGAAUACUUAUAGAAAUCUGAUAUUUCAGUUUUUUAUUUUAAUACAUUUGCAAAAAGGUCGAAAAACCUGUUUUAGCUUUGUCAUUAUGGGGUAUUGUGAUGUCAUUAUGGGGUAUUGUGAUGUCAUUAUGGGGUAUUGUGAUGUCAUUAUGGGGUAUUGUGAUGUCAUUAUGGGGUAUUGUGAUGUCAUUAUGGGGUAUUGUGUGUGUGUGUAGAUUGAUGAGGGGGAAAAAACUAUCUAAUCCAUUUUAGAAUAAGGCUGUAACGUAACAAAAUGUGGAAAAGGUCAAGGGGUCUGACUACUAAUACAGUAAGACAGUUUUACUCUGUCCAGUGGCUGUGUUCUUUUAUCCAUCUUAAUCUUUUAUUUUUAUUGGCCAGUGUGAGAUAUGGCUUUUUCUUUGCAACUGUGCCUAGAAGGCCAGAGUCCCGGAGUCACCUCUUCAAUGUUGACAUUGAGACUGGUGUUUUGCAGGUACUAUUUAAUGAAGCUGCCAGUUGAGGACUUGUGAGGCAUCUAUUUCUCAAACUAGACACUCUACUGUACUCUUCCUCUUGCUCAGUUGUGCACCGGGGCCUCCCACUCCUCUUUCUAUUCUGGUUAGUGCCAGUUUGCGCUCUUCUGUGAAGGGAGUAGUACAUAGCGUUCUACGAGAUCUUAAAUUUCUUGGCAAUUUCUCACAUGGAAUAGCCUUAAUUUCUCAGAACAAGAAUAGACUGAAGAGUUUCAGAAGAAAGUUCUUUGUUUCUGGCCAUUUUGAGCCUCUAAUCGAACCCAUAAAUGCUGAUGCUCCAGAUACUCAACUAGUAUAAAGAAGGCCAGUUGUGUUGCUUCUGUAAUCAUCACAACAGUUUUCAGCUGUGCUAACAUAAUUGCAAAAGGGUUUUCUAAUGAUCAAUUAGCCUUUUAAAAUGAUCAACUUGGAUGAGUUAACACAACAUACCACUGGAACACAGGAGUGAUGGUUGCUGAUAAUGGGCCUCUGUAUGCCUAUGUAGAUAUUCCAUUAAAAAUCAGCCGUUUCCAGCUACAAUAGUCAUUUACAACAUUAACCAUGUCUACACUGUAUUUCUGAUCAAUUUGAUGUUAUUUUAAUGGACAAAAAAAUUGAUUUUCAUUCAAAAGCAAGGACAUUUCUAAGUGACU
rnacentral:lncRNA from 13 species